rnacentral:rRNA from 1 species
UACAGAGGGGGCAAGCGUUGUUCGGAAUUACUGGGCGUAAAGGGCGCGUAGGCGGCCCGCUAAGUCGAACGUGAAAUCCCCGAGCUCAACUCGGGAACUGCGUCCGAUACUGGCGGGCUUGAAUCCGGGAGAGGGAUGCGGAAUUCCCGGUGUAGCGGUGAAAUGCGCAGAUAUCGGGAGGAACACCAAUGGCGAAGGCAGCUCGCUGGGACGUUACUGACGCUGAGACGCGAAAGCGUGGGGAGCAAACAGG